rnacentral:ncRNA from 2 species
UGAAUCCGCGCGGGAGAGUUCCGGGCACACGUCUGUGUGCCGGACGCCGAAGGAGCAAGUCCCUCCCUUGAAUCUCUCAGGCCCCGAUACCGCGCGGGCGAG